rnacentral:sRNA from 1 species
CACCGCCUGGGGAGUACGACCGCAAGGUUAAAACUCAAAUGAAUUGACGGGGACCCGCACAAGUAGUGGAGCAUGUGGUUUAAUUCGAAGAUACGCGCAGAACCUUACCAACACUUGACAUGUUCGUCGCGACUUUAAGAGAUUAAAGUUUUCGGUUCGGCCGGACGAAACACAGGUGCUGCAUGGCUGUCGUCAGCUCGUGUCGUGAGAUGUUGGGUUAAGUCCCGCAACGAGCGCAACCCUCACUUUUAGUUGCCAUCAUUUAGUUGGGCACUCUGAAAGAACUGCCAGUGAUAAGCUGGAGGAAGGUGGGGAUGACGUCAAGUCCUCAUGGCCCUUACGUGUUGGGCUACACACGUGCUACAAUGGUAUUUACAAAAGGAAGCAAAACGGCGACGUUUAGCAAAUCCUUAAAAAAUACCUCAGUUCGGAUUGCACUCUGCAACUCGAGUGCAUGAAGCUGGAAUUACUAGUAAUCGUGGAUCAGCGUGCCACGGUGAAUGCGUUCCCGGGUCUUGUACACACCGCCCGUCACACCAUGGGAGUUGGUUCUACCUUAAGGCAAGGUUUAAAACCCUUGACCACGGUAUAGUCAGCGACUGGGGUGAAGUCGUAACAAGGUAGCCGUAGGGGAACCUGCGGCUGGAUUACCUCCUUUCUAAGGAUGAAUGAAAUUUACUUUCAUUCUAAAUAAUAUACAGGUUAAUGUUGACCGUCCUCAUUUCUCUUCUUAAAUUAGUGUUUCUCUUGCAUGGGGGCCGGUAGCUCAGUUGGUUAGAGCACACCCUUGAUAAGGGUGGGGUCGAAAGUUCGAGUCUUUCUCGGCCCACCAAUUUAGAUCUUGGGGGGAUUAGCUCAGCUGGGAGAGCGCCUGAUUUGCAUUCAGGAGGUCAGCGGUUCGAUCCCGCUAUCCUCCACCAGAAACACUUAGCUAUGAAAUUUGUGAAUAAUUAAUAAUUAAUAUCAAUAUCUAUAUCCGAAUAUUAGAAAUGUUUUUAUCUAAUAUUCUUGUAAAAAAUUUGAUUCAACACAGAAUUUUUUUCUG